CGAAGGGGGCGAGCGUUGUUCGGAUUUACUGGGCGUAAAGGGCGCGUAGGCGGCCAUCUUUGUCAGGCGUGAAAGCCCCGGGCUCAACCUGGGAACUGCGUCUGGGACGGGGUGGCUAGAGAUCGGGAGAGGAGCGUGGAAUUCCCAGUGUAGAGGUGAAAUUCGUAGAUAUUGGGAAGAACACCGGUGGCGAAGGCGGCGCUCUGGACCGAGACUGACGCUGAGGCGCGAAAGCGUGGGGAGCAAACAGGAUUAGAUACCCUGGUAGUCCACGCUGUAAACGAUGUGUGCUAGACGUUGGGGAGCCUAGCUCUUCGGUGUCGCAGCUAAACGCUUUAAGCACACCGCCUGGGGAGUACGGCCGCAAGGUUA
rnacentral:rRNA from 1 species